GUAAAGAACAUGUCAUUAAUUACUUCUUUUCUCCAAGAAAAAAUUAUGUUCUGCAGCCAUUAAAGUCACAUCCUGCCAAUGCCAAAGACUUGCUGGACUCCUCUUGCAGCUCCACCUUCCUGGAUAUGAUCAGACCACGAUCUUCUUGGCAAUUUGUUCGAUGCAAACACCCACAACAAAGGUGUUGACAGUGUAGGCGAAAUCCUUGAAGAAUUCUGGAAAUGGGUCCAUAAUAGCUAAGUAAAUUCGUAGAGAAGGCAGUGACUGCCGACACAGUUGUAACCCAAAUAGGAAGGAAGAGGAAAAAUCAAUAUGCAAACCGGUUAUCUUCUCAUUGCAUGAAAAUGGAGUUCAAACUCCAAGAAAUUUAUUGCCUUCAAGAAGCACAGCUAACCAUUCAAAAUACUUAAUUGCAUGAUUAACCAUACAAGAUUUAUCAAGCACUACUGGAUAUAAACCAACGGACUUCACCUCUCAUAAAUAGGGGGAUGCUCAAACAAAACCAUUAUCACAAACAAAAAGAAUAUAUCUCGCAGCCCCUUUUAAAAUUUUUAGAACAAAAAAUCAGAGAUUAAAAAUCCUCACCACCAAUGGAGAAUGCAUUGGCCGUUUGAACUUGCCAUGGGGGAUGAUUCUAUGAAUGUUGUAAAGAAUGUUUACAGAAACAACAUUAAUAUACGACUUCAUAAACAAACAAGCCAGCAUCACUUUGCCUGGUCCGAAAGAUUCAAUCAUAAUGGAAUUCAUGUCAUUAUGGAAGCACAUUGCACCCAAAGCUGUAGAAUGGAACUGCAUAAGCAUCAUUCACCCAAAACGGGAGUUCUGUUGCCAAAUUGCGCACCACGAACAGUCAACAAGAUGAAUCAUUAAAAGGUUUGUAAGAGAGUUCCUCCUUAUUGAACUUGUUCCAAGCUUCCUCGAGAAUAUCAAAAACCUUCUCAGCAGUAUAAUUUUGCUCAAGAGUGGCACCUUUCUGCUGAACCUUAUCAGGAUGGACACAUAGUGUUGCCUUCCUAUAAACUUUUUUCACCGAGGCAGAUGUAAUCAAAUCUGUAAGUGAAACUGGCUCCCAUCCACAUUCAGGCCAAAGCACAUGUUGCAAUGAUGAUAACAAUGCGCGCAUGUUGCCUUCUUUCCCUGCAGCCCAGCGCUUCAUCUCGGCAUCCACUUUGUCAGCAAUCCUCACUCGAUCCUGGGUCCUCUGGUGUUGGCCCAAUCUGGCUCUUUGUCUUUCUUCACUUUCCCCUUCAACUUCCUCAAAUUCUCCAAAUGACAAAGGAUCUCCAAAUAUUCAAGAAAAAUCAACUAUAUUUGUUGUAGAAGAACCUUUCCUUAUGCUGGAUGAGACACCAUUAGACUUUCUCUGGGCUACUGCACCCUCUCCUUUGUUGUUUAUCUUUGCAUCAAAUAAAGGAUCCGAAGUUGUAGUCCUUGACUUUGGUACAUUGCUGGAUCGAGAACCCACACCAAAAAAGGAUUCUAGAUCAUCUGCACUCUUUUGGUGAUUCUUCUGUGCAGAAUCUUCAGCUUCUUUAUAUUUACUUGCUUUUGCAGUUUGUCUCUCCCUUGCUCCCCUUGAGCAUAUAUUGACAUUAUUUUGCAUCCUUUGUUACUCUUCAACACUUGUCCUGGUUUUGGAGGGGGCCUUUGUGCAGAGAUGUUUGAUGAACCAAGUCGAUUUGUGCUUCCCGAAAGGUUGAACUUACUGAAUUCUUCCAGUGGGUCUGUAAAUGUCAAUUUUGUUGUGGUUGAAGUUGAUUCUAAUACUACAAAAGGGUCAUCUGUUGAGGUGAAAGCUGAUUUUUUCAUUGCCGUAGUUUCCCCCUUCUUCGAUGAGCUGCUUGAACCAAACCCAGGUAUCAAAUCAUCAAAACCUACAGAUCCAUUCUGGCUAGGGGUCUUCGUUUUUCCACCAAAGGUACCAAACAAGUCAUCAAUCGGUGCAGUUUGCUUUGGCUUUGAACCAAAGGACCCAAAAAUAUCAUCCGUGCUAAUGGAGUUCAAACUGUUUAACCCACUCAAUAUAUCGCCAUCCAAUGACGAUUUAGCAUUCAAGUAAUUAGAAUUUGAGAAGAUGGAAUCGUAAUCGAAAGAAGACCCAGUACCAUUAUCAGUUGUUUGCCUUGAGUUCUUUUGGAAACCACCAAAAAUGUCAAAACCAUAAUCUAAACCACCAAAACUCUGGGGUUUUUGACUGCUAAAAAGAGCUUCAUGAUCAUCGAAAAAAGACCCAUUAAGGGAAUUGGAAUUAUGGGGAGAUUUCGAAGCAUAUGAUGAUGAAUUUUGGUUUGAAGCUGAAUUCGAAGCGAAACUUCGGGUUUGAGCACUGGAAGUGUUAUCGGGUCGUUUCGAAGAGGCCAUCGGAGCCGAUUUGCCUUGCGGUUUUAACCCAAAACUCUCCGUCAAGACACCAAACUCAUCCAUAUUAAGAAACCAAACAAAAGAAGCUAUAUAUUUGAGCUACAAGCCGAAGACUUUAAAAUGAAAGAAGUGUUUACAAGAUAAUUUUCAGAAAAAAAAAAGCCUGCGUUUGAUCUACAAACAGAACAUAACAAUGUACAGAAUCUAAUGAAACUUGAAUGAAUUGAAGCAAAGAAAAGGAGAUCUGAAACAGAGAGUUGUUGACUUCUUUUUUCUCCAAAUAGUUUUGUUUGUUUGAAAUGAAAAUGAGAAGGAAAGUAAAUGGCGGGAAUUGGAUGAUAAAGAAAAAUGAAGAGAGAAUUUUCCGGGAUCGUGUAAGAGAAAAUUUUGAUUUCAACGGAGACUCUGUUCCUCUCGAUGUCUCUCGCUCUCCCUCUCUGUUUGUGCGUGAGAGAGAGGGAAGCGCUGGUGGGUGAUUGCGGAAGCAAAGCCUUUUUAGUGGUGGACCAUAAGUCUUC
rnacentral:misc_RNA from 1 species